UACAGAGGUCCCAAGCGUUACUGAGAAUCACUGGGUUUAAAGGGUGCGUAGGUGGUCCGUUAAGUCAGUUGUGAAAUCCCCGGGCUCAACCCGGGAAAUGCUUCUGAUACUGGCGGACUUGAGGCCAGUAGGGGUCACUAGAACUGACGGUGGAGCGGUGAAAUGCGUAGAUAUCGUCAGGAAUGCCGGUGGUGAAGACGGGUGACUGGGCUGGUUCGUGACACUGAGGCACGAAAGCGUGGGGAUCAAACAGG
rnacentral:rRNA from 1 species